rnacentral:rRNA from 1 species
GAUGAACGCUAGCGGCAGGCUUAAUACAUGCAAGUCGAACGGUAACAGGUCUUCGGACGCUGACGAGUGGCGCACGGGUGAGGAACACAUACACAAUCUACCUUAUACUGGAGAAUAGCCCCGGGAAACUGGGAUUAAUACUCCAUAGUCUUUAAUGAUCACAUGAGAAAUAAAGUAAAGCUUCGGCGGUAUAAGAUGAGUGUGCGUCCCAUUAGAUUGUUGGUGAGGUAACGGCUCACCAAGUCGACGAUGGGUAGCUGGCGUGAGAGCGCGACCAGCCACACUGGCACUGAGACACGGGCCAGACUCCUACGGGAGGCAGCAGUAGGGAAUAUUGGUCAAUGGACGAAAGUCUGAACCAGCCAUGCCGCGUGGAGGAUGACUGCCCUCUGGGUUGUAAACUCCUUUUAUAUGGGAAGAAACCUCUGGAUUCACUCCAGAGCUGACGGUAUCAUAUGAAUAAGCACCGGCUAACUCCG